rnacentral:rRNA from 1 species
UACAGAGGGUGCAAGCGUUAAUCGGACUUACUGGGCGUAAAGCGUGCGUAGACGGUUAUGUAAGUCGGGUGUGAAAGCCCCGGGCUCAACCUGGGAAUGCCAUUCGAGACUGCAUAGCUAGGGUGCGGAAGAGGGAAGCGGAAUUUCAGGUGUAGCGGUGAAAUGCGUAGAUAUCUGAAGGAACACCAGUGGCGAAAGCGGCUUCCUGGUCCAGCACCGACGUUCAGGCACGAAAGCGUGGGGAGCAAACAGG